CAGGCGUAAUACCACAACCCUUAAGUUAGCGCUUAUGGGCUAGAAGCCCCGGAGAUACCCCUGCUUCGUCAGGCAGUCUGUACCGCGUACAGCCUGAAACUCCCUAAACCUCAACAACCAGCCACUCCGGCGUGAAGGUAUCGUUCU
rnacentral:sRNA from 15 species